AGUUCGGAUUGAAGGCUGAAAUUCGCCUUCAUGAAGCCGGAAUUGCUAGUAAUGGCAGGUCAGCAUACUGCCGUGAAUACGUUCCCGGGCCUUGUACACGCCGCCCGUCACACCAUGAGAGUUGGGAAUACCCGAAGCCUGUGAGCUAACGUUAAGAGGCAGCAGUCGAAGGUAGAAUCAAUGAUUGGGGUGAAGUCGUAACAAGGUACC
rnacentral:rRNA from 1 species